rnacentral:lncRNA from 1 species
AGACAAUGUGAUGGUCAUGAAGUCUCUGUCAGAGAGGAAAGAGGGAGUUAAUCUAUAAUGAAGAUCAACAGUGAAGAGGAAAGGGGUCUUCCCUGGAACGCUUCAGUCAUAUACGACAUUUUACACAACAAUAAUGGACCUGUGUAAGGAGGUAUGUGUGGGAGAAGAUUCCAGAAGGUCUUGAGACACUCCAGAUGAAGGUUGGUGUGGGGCUGUGCUGCUGGAGCACCAGAGAGUGAAAAGAGGUUAUCUCCCUCUGUGCCAGGCCAGAGUGCAGUGGUGCAAUCACGGCUCACUGUAGUCUCAACCUCCUGGGCUCAAGAGAUCCUCCCACUUCAGCCUCCCAAGCAGCUAAGACUACAGGCACGUGUCAUCAUAUCUGGCAAAUUAAAAAAAAAAUUAUAGAGAUGGGCUCUCCCUGUGUUUCCCUGGUUGGUCUCAAACUCCUGGGCUCAAGUGAUCCUCCCAUCUUGGCCUCCCAACUUACUGGGAUUACAGGCAUUUGCCACUGUGCCCAGCCCAUUUCAAUAUUUCUGAUCAAUAAAUGUGCCUGUCCUUCA